GAGGCACCCUUAUGUGGCAGGACUUGCUUCAGUGGGGCUUUGGUGCUCACUGAGUCUGCCCCUUGAGUGUGUUGCU
rnacentral:pre_miRNA from 1 species